UCCGGUUUGUCACCGGCAGUCCCAUUAGAGUGCCCAACUUAAUGUGGCAACUAAUGGCAAGGGUUGCGCUCGUUGCGGGACUUAACCCAACAUCUCACGACACGAGCUGACGACAGCCAUGCAGCACCUGUGUUACGGUUCCCUUUCGGGCACACCUCCAUCUCUGGAGGCUUCCGUACAUGUCAAGGGUAGGUAAGGUGGGGAUGACGUCACACGCAAUAACA
rnacentral:misc_RNA from 1 species